AGAGUGCUAAGGAUUGAGGGAUUAAGAGGAGGUGAUUGUAUUAUUCCUCUUUUCAGAUAAUGGAGAGAGAGAAGAGAACAGCAGUAGCCGUUGCCAGAAAUAUUGAGCAAGGCGGAUUUAUUAGAUGAAGAUAUCAAAAUACUUUCCAUUGAGGAAACAGGUUGGAGGUGGGAGGCUGUAACCAUGCUUGAUUUUGUACCACCCUAACCUUUGCUUUUGUUGGUGGCAUAUAUAAUGAGUGCUGGGUGUUAAGGAAGCAAUGGUGAAGGAGAGACACCCUCCCGACCCUCAUGGUGCUUGCAGCCUAGUGGAGCUAUGAAAAGAUAGGCAAGUGAGUCCUAUGAUUGGAGAAGUAAUGAGAAGUAAUGAGAAGCGUCUUCUAAGCAUAGGGGUAAAGACUGCAAAGACCCUGAAGGGAGAAAGUAAUGGCCAUUCUGAGAACUGAAAGUUUGCACAGUGCACAGAGGGCAUGAAGAACGAAGGAAAGAGAUUUUUUUUUUUUUUUUUUUGCCCAAGAUGGCAAGUUGCUUAAAACCUAAAGCUCCUUUCAAUUCUUUACAAUCCAAGAUUAUAUGGAAUGGACUGGGAACAAAGAGAGGGACUGGCAUUUAAAGUCUUUUAUCAUGUGGUGUUAGCACGGAGAUGAGAAAGAGAGAAAGACAACAUCAUGCUUUGCUGUCUGUGUGUGAACUGAGUAACAGCUGUGAAGGAUCAGUCACCAAAAGACUUUGAAAGAAGAGGCUUGAUUGGUCACGGUAAUGAUGCUCCCCUGGCCAUGGAAGUUUAAUUGGGAGAAAAGAACAUCUGCUUAUACGAAAACAUAUUAUAUUCAGCCAUCCCUGCCCUGACUUUGGCCUUUAAAAACAGUGGCAUUAAUUAUCUCAACAAAUGAAUCUUCGGGAUAAAAAUAAUCUAAAUAUUAUUUUACGCUUACUACAUAUUUGCAACGUGCUAAGCUCUUUAUGGUUGCUACCACAAAAAACAUUUAUAAUAUGAGGUUGUUUCCGUAUUUUGGCUAUUGUGAAUAGUGCUGCAAUAAACAUGGAAGUGCUGAUAUAUCUUUGAGAUCUUGACUUCAAACAAAAGAAGAAAAUCUUGCAAUAUAUGACAACACGGAUUAACCUGGAGGACAUUGUGCUUAGUGAAGUUAGCCAGUCACAGACUGACAAGUACUGCACGAUUCCACUUAUAUGAUGCCACUGAAAGGUAAACAUACCAUUCUGACAUGCAUGAAAAUGAAACGACAAAUUGAUACACGCAGUGCUUGGAAUGGAUGGAGUCCUUCUAAUGAGUGAUUACCUGUGGUAUAACUAUAUUGAUUGUGUUUGUACAUGUCAAAUGGGGCUGGCGAGGAUGAACUUGAAGAAAUCAAUCUUGGAACCUGCUAGGACAGCAGCCUCCUGGUUUCACAGUACUAAAUCAUGACUUCAAAAUUUUGAAGUAAAAGAAAACUGCAAAACUUUGUAAA